GCCCACAAACAGCUCAUGGUCUGGUAGGAGCGACAUACAGACACAGAAAGUUGUCAUGAGUAAGCGCUCGACAGAGCUUGAUAAAGGGUGCCCUAGAACGCAGAGAAGAGCUCAUAGCGUGGGAGGAGUUGAUGUGGAUCAUUGGAAAAUACAGUCUGCCACAAAUGGACAGAAACGAAAGUCUCCUCAUAGAUAGUUAAGCUUCAUCCAUGAAGUCCUGCAACAUUUUUGGUGCCCAAUGUGGGGCUCAAAAAGCGGCCAUCAGACUCCAAACAGUCAUGCAACUGGAGCCUUUGAGGAUGACCCCUUCUGCCGGGGACCCUUAGGUCAGCCUCUAGAGAAGCUUUGACUGCUGUUUCCCCAAAACAGCGCCCCCUGCCAUCAGGAAGCAAGCUGAUCAAGGAGAGAAGAUUAGGCAUGGAUAUUCAGUUUAAAAUGGUAAAGAACCAUAAUAAUACCUACCUUGAAGUGAUGAUAUAAACUACAUGACACAGAGUACUUGCUUCACACAGUGUUGGAACACACAGAGCUGCCACCUGGAAAUCCCUGCUCAUCUAAGGGUUGCAUCUAGACUCUG
rnacentral:antisense_RNA from 1 species